CCUCUUUGAAUAAGUUUCUGCUGUCAUUAACAGUUAUUCCUAGAUAUUUCAAUUUGUUGCUAACCUUUAUACCUUCUAUUUCAUUGGGUUUUUCUUUCAUAUUAAAUAUAAUAAUAUUGCUUUUUUCCUUAUUAAUUUCUAGGCCACAUUCCCUCCCUGAUGCCAAUACUUGUUCUAUCACCUCUUCUGCAUCUACUACACUACUUGCAAGUAACAUUCCAUCGUCCGCAAAGAAGAGUGAUGUUAUGCUAAAGUUCUCGUCUCUGUACCCUUUGUUCAGCUUCUCCAACUGAUGCAUAAUUUUAUAUCACAUGACUUUGUGUCCCAAUGUCCACCACUGGUGUUAGUGUUGAAGUGAGGCAUCGAGACAGUUGCUGUGGUCAGUACUUGUUCCGUCCCUGCUGCCGCUGACUUCAGGACUCCUUGGUGCAUCCCUCGCCUUGCCUGCUCAAUUGGUCACUGAGUGUGGCUUUGAAGCAACCUCGCCGCCUUCUCCAGCAUCUCUGAGGUUCCUCAAGGCCAGCCAACUCCUCACAUCCAGAGUAGUGUUGCAGUGGAGGCUGCAAGGCGGGACAGCAGCUGGAGUGGCUGGGAUCAGCAGGAGCAGACUGCUACUGGUGUGAGGUUCAGGAGUGAUAAAAAACACCACCAACACAACCACCAACAACAACAACAACUGCUGGCCUCUUCAUCCACAAAGGGGGAAGUUUGAAUUUCAGAAGUGUGAGAAGAUCUGAGAAUGAGAGCAAGUUUACUGACCAAAGCCAAGAGUGUGAGAAAAGACAUGCAGGGAAGGAUGACCUCAACAAAUACACCCACACACUCUGGUGUAAGACCUCAUGAAAGUCGGGAGUGUGGCAAAAGGUUUAGUAAUAGGAGUAACCCCAAACAUCACACCCUUACACACACUGGUGCAAGAAACCAUAAGUGUGAAGUUUGUGGGAAAUGUUUCAGUCAGAAGGGUCACCUCAACACACACACCCUUACACACACCAGUGCAAGAAAUUAUGAGUGUGAAGUUUGUGGGAAAUGUUUCAGUCAGAAGGGUACCCUCAACACACACACCCUUACACACACUGGUGCAAGAAAUCAUGAGUGUGAAGCUUGUGGGAAAUGUUUCAGUCGGAAGGGUACCCUCAAAUUACACACUCUUACACACACUGGUGAAAGAAAUCAUGAGUGUGAAGUUUGUGGAAAAUGUUUCACUGAGAAGGGUACCCUCAAGAAACACACUCUUACACACACUGGUGAAAGAAAUCAUGAGUGUGAAAUCUGUGGAAAAUGUUUCACUGAGAAGGGUACCCUCAAGAAACACACUCUUACACACGCUGGUGAAAAAAAUCAUGAGUGUGAAGUUUGUGGAAAAUGUUUCAGUCGGAAGGAUACCCUCAAAUUACACACUCUUACACACACUGGUGAAAGAAAUCAUGAGUGUGAAGUUUGUGGGAAAUGUUUCAAUCACAAGAGUAACCUCAAAGUACACACUCUUACACACACUGGUGAAAGAAAUCAUGAGUGUGAAGUUUGUGGGAAAUGUUUCAGUCAGAAGGGUACCCUCAAAUUACACCUUGUUACACACACUGAUGCAAGAAGUCAUGAGUGUGAAGUUUGUGGGAAAAGGUUCAAACUGAAGAGUAUAUUGAACAGGCACGUCUUCAGACACUCUGGUCAUAAAGGGUUCAAGUGCGAUGUUUGUGGGAAACGUUUCAUGACUAAGGGUGAGAUUGUCAGCCACAUGAAGGUCCACUUCUCCUGAGGUGCUGUGCUGAUUCAGUUCUGCUGUGUGUGUGAGUGCAAGUGUUUGUUGUGGUGGUGUUACAGGGCUGUGUGUAGCACAGAGAACAGAAAAUAUUCAUCUGUUGGAACAAAUGGUGACUGUGACGGCAUGAUCUGUUAUUCACUUUCCACCCCAGGCUUCAUGUGGUUGGUGGGUCCUGUGAAAGGUCUGGGCCCGUAUCCUCGACAACUAUUAAUACUAAACUUGGUAUUAACUUUCGACUUUGGUAUUAACUUCACUCUCAAAGUGUAUCCUCAACAACUAUUAGCCUAAUACCUACUCUUAACUUUGGUAUUAACUUGAGAGUGCUGGCGAGGACUUCUAAACACUUAAUAGUAAAGUUAAUAUUGAAUCCCAGACCCAGACCCAUAUCAACAUGGCCCCCGGACUUCCUCGUCCAGCCCGCCUCCGCAAUUUAGAGUUUGAUAGGGCGCUUUGGAACUGUAUAACGAUGGUGAACUUGUCAAGACAUACAUAUUAGACCGUGCAGGAAUGGAGUAUGUGACUGAUUUGGUGAGAAGAGAGCUACAAGAUCCAGUUCAAAGGGAGCAUUCCCUCACCCCGGGGUUGAAAGUGAUUUUGACUUAAAGAUACUUGGCUACAGGAAAAAUGCUGCAGUGUUCAAGUGAUGAGUUAGGGGGUAAGCCAGAGUAGUGUAAGCAGGGUGAUUGUGGAAACUCUGGCCGCCCUCAGUGCCCCGUAGGUAGUCGGGAGGUUUAUCCAGUCUCCCCUUGAUAGGGUGGAGAUCCGUGUAAAGCAAGCAGAAUUCUACCAACUUGCCGGUGUUGUGGGAGUGAUAGACUGUACCCAUGUGAAAAUAAUGGCACCAAAGGAAAACGAUGUAGUUUAUGUCAACAGAAAAAAAAUAAACAUAGCUUGAACAUACAAUUAGUGUUUGAUGCCUUUGUUAUUGAUUAAAAUGUGAAAUAUUCGAGUUAAGGAAAACAGAACAUGGGAAAAAAACUUUUAUUUGUAGCAGAAAGGUACACACAUGCAAAUGAAAAAGAUGACAUUAAAAUUGCAUUAAAAUGUCAUUUAGAAUAUGAUUUAUAAUUAUUGCUGCCGGUUAUUCAUAUUGAGAUAAUGGUGGUAAGAAAGCUUGUUAGAGACGUCUGCCAGUGUGAGGGAGGAGGAACGAAAGGUCGAGGUGACCACAUCGUGAACAUCAUGACUUAUGAGUGAAGUAAAACGAGGUUACUUGGUUUCUGUUUACAAAGUUCCAAGUGGAAAAACAACUUUAUUGUGAAUUCAGUGUAUACUUUUCUGGAGUAUUGUGUUUACUUAGUGAAUUGGUGACCAAUCUGUUGUUAUUUGUGUCUUGCUUGAAGAUAUUCAUCAUUGGAUUCAAAGCUAUGGUAUUAAUGUGCAAUAGUCAUCAUAACAAAAUACGUAGUAAUUAAUUAUAUAUGUCAACCUAUUUAUUUUCAUGAGAUCAUGGUAUGACCACUGAAAAACAUAGCUUUUUUAUCUUGGCUCCAUUACAAAUUCAGUAUAUAAUUACUCUAUUAGUGGAAUCUAGUUUUCAGCAUCUUUUAUUAUUAUGCCAAUAUUCUAAGCACUCAGCUUGCAAACAUGCUUAGGUUUAUGUUGUCAGCUUGGGUCGGACUUAUGUGAACAAUUUACCAAGUGACCUAAGAUUACUCAAUGCUCGCAAAGCUAUGGUAUUAACGUGCAAUGGUCAUCAUACCAAAAUACGUAGUAAUUAAUUAUAUAUGUCAACCUAAUUAUUUUCAUGGGAUCAUGGUAUGACCGCUGAAAAACAUAGCUUUUUUUAUCUUGGCUCCAUUACAAAUUCAGUAUAUAAUUAUUCAUAUAUUCAAUAAAGUAGUGGAAUCCAGUUUUCAGCAUCUUUUAUUAUUAUGCCAAUAUUCUAAACACUCAGCUUGCAAACACGCUUAGGUUUAUGUUGUCAGCUUGGGUCGGACUUAGGUGAACACUUUACCAAGUGACCUAAGAUUACUCAAUGCUACCAUAUAGGUAUACUACAUCUUUGAUUGUGAGUUCAUCAGAGAGCACUGGAGAGCAGCAUGAGUCUAAUUAGGUGCUAAUGAAUAUCCUGCCUGCAUCACAGACUACAUAAAAUGCAAAUAUGAUCGGUGCCUAAAGGUGUUAUAAGCUAAUGCUCAUCUCCGUAACAUUGGCCCUUGAGCCUGUGGUGGGAGGGAGCCCAUUACCCCGGGACACAGGGCCAGUGUGACAUCCGGGUUACCACAGUUUCCCCAGGUAGUCAUUUAUCGACCAGCCCGAGAGGGAGGAUGAUCAGCUGGGUGAGCUGCACUCCGACUGCCCAGGCCGGGAUUCAAACCCGGGCCCGCGUAGAAGCCAGGCAUGCUGACCACUAGACCACGGAGGCGUAUUGGAGCCCAAUCUCAAGUGAACCCACUCACAAUGGCACACAAUUUUUUUUCUGGUAAAUUUUGUGCUUUGAAUGAAUUUGCUAACCAUUUCUGUUGAAAAACAGCAGAGAUUAUUUUUCACCCCUUCCACCCUAACCUUAUCAGUAAUAAAAAAAAAAGUGACAAAAUCAUAGCCUUGAGGCAGUAAUAUUCAGCCCCAGCAUAAAAAAAUUAUACUGCUGCCCUAUGAAAGGCAUCUCUCAACUCUGAUGAAGUAGGUGGUGACUGUGGUGGAGCAGCUUCAUUGUCAUUCCUUGCAGUGGCAGGUGUUAUUGGGCCAGCAGAUGAUGAAGCAGUGGCUGGUGUCAUUGGGCCAGCAGAUGAUGAAGCAGUGGCAGGUGUCAUUGGGCCAGCAGAUGAUGAAGCAGUGGCAGGUGUCAUUGGGCCAGCAGAUGAUGAAGCAGUGGCAGGUGUCAUUGGGCCAGCAGAUGAUGAAGCAGUGGCUGGUGUCAUAGGGCCAGCAGAUGAUGAAGCAGUGGCUGGUGUCAUUGGGCCAGCAGAUGAUGAAGCAGUGGCAGGUGUCAUAGGGCCAGCAGAUGAUGAAGCAGUGGCAGGUGUCAUAGGGCCAGCAGAUGAUGAAGCAGUGGCAGGUGUCAUUGGGCCAGCAGAUGAUGAAGCAGUGGCAGGUGUCAUUGGGCCAGCAGAUGAUGAAGCAGUGGCAGGUGUCAUAGGGCCAGCAGAUGAUGAAGCAGUGGCAGGUGUCAUAGGGCCAGCAGAUGAUGAAGCAGUGGCAGGUGUCAUAGGGCCAGCAGAUGAUGAAGCAGUGGCAGGUGUCAUAGGGCCAGCAGAUGAUGAAGCAGUGGCAGGUGUCAUUGGGCCAGCAGAUGAUGAAGCAGUGGCUGGUGUCAUUGGGCCAGCAGAUGAUGAAGCAGUGGCAGGUGUCAUAGGGCCAGCAGAUGAUGAAGCAGUGGCAGGUGUCAUAGGGCCAGCAGAUGAUGAAGCAGUGGCUGGUGUCAUAGGGCCAGCAGAUGAUGAAGCAGUGGCAGGUGUCAUAGGGCCAGCAGAUGAUGAAGCAGUGGCUGGUGUCAUAGGGCCAGCAGAUGAUGAAGCAGUGGCUGGUGUCAUUGGGCCAGCAGAUGAUGAAGCAGUGGC